CCAGGAGGCAGGGCCUUGGAUAAAUUGAGGGGUUCAAAAGAGGUUCAAGUCUGGGGGAAGAUAAGGCAGCCAGAUGGACCAGCCCCGGAAUCUUGCCUCACACUUACCAAAAGUGGGACUCGAGGGCAGACAAGACCGGUCUGGACUGCGUUCUCAUACAAAGCAAAAUGGACUGGAUGGAAGCCAGAAGGGGAGAUAUUGAGUGGGUUCACCAAAAGUGACCAACUUCGCUCCCUCUGCUGCCUCACCAAAAAGCUGUCUCGGUCAGCAAGUUUUAAAGGAAGAAAUCAUGACUUGGGUAUUUCACAGAAGGGGACAUUUUCAUUCAAAGGACCACAGGAUCACAGAUUGAGAGCUGAAGGGACCUUAGGCAUUAAUGAUU